rnacentral:rRNA from 1 species
AUCUCAACAAGUUGCUGGUCGCGGCCCUCGGGGGUUCUCUCCCGGGUGGUAGGGGCUGACACCCUUCACGCGUUGCCGCAUUCCUGAAUCCUUUUUUUACGAGCACCUUUCGUUCUCCUUCGGUGGGGCAACCUGCCGCUGGAACUUAACAAAACCUUUUUUGCAUCUAGCAUUACCUGUUCUGAUACAAACAAUCGUUACAACUUUCAACAAUGGAUCUCUUGGCUCUGGCAUCGAUGAAGAACGCAGCGAAAUGCGAUAAGUAGUGUGAAUUGCAGAAUUCAGUGAAUCAUCGAAUCUUUGAACGCACAUUGCGCCCCUUGGUAUUCCAUGGGGCAUGCCUGUUCGAGCGUCAUCUACACCCUCAAGCUCUGCUUGGUGUUGGGCGUCUGUCCCGCCUUUGCGCGUGGACUCGCCCCAAAUUCAUUGGCAGCGGUCCUUGCCUCCUCUCGCGCAGCACAAUUGCGUCUGCGGGGGGGCGUGGCCCGCGUCCACGAAGCAACAUUACCGUCUUUGACCUCGGAUCAGGUAGGGAUACCCGCUGAACUUAAGCAUAUCAAUAGGCCGGAGGAUCAUUAUCAUCUCAACAGGUUGCUGGUGCGCCCUCGGGGGUUCUCUCCGGGUGGUAGGGGCUGACACUUCAGCGUUGCGCAUUCUGAAUCUUUUUUUAGAGCACUUUGUUCUCUUGGUGGGGCACUGCGCUGGAACUUAACAAAACUUUUUUGCAUCUAGCAUUACUGUUCGAUAAAACAUGUUAACUUUCACAUGGAUCUCUUGGCUCUGGCAUGAUGAAGAAGCAGGAAAGGAUAGUGUGUGAAUUGCAGAAAUUCAUGAAUCAUCAAUCUUUCAGCAUUGCUUCGUAUUCAUGGGGCAUGCUGUUUCAGCUCUCUACCCUCAGCCUGCUUGGUGUUGGGGGUCUGUCGCUUUGCGGUGAUCCCAAUCAAUUGGGAGGUCUUGCCUCCUCUCGGCAGCCAAUUAGCUCUUCUUGGAGUGUCCCGGCUCUCUACACACAACUCCUGUCUGCGUCAGUGAGUGAGGACCACGUAGCCGUCAUUAACACUUCUAGUAUGAGAGAGUAGAUACUCU